UGUGACGAGACCCUGUGAGAAGCCCAUGCUGGAGCAGAUUUGCUGGUGGGACUUGUGACCCCACCGAGGACCAGGGAUGGAGAUUUAGAGCAUUUUCCAGAGGGCAGGAUGGGGCUAGGGAGCGUGCCUGAAGAGCCAGAAAAGCAAAUGGGAAUGUUGUGUACCUUAAGGGAUUCAGCAGGAGCAUUCAUGCAGGAGACAGCAGGUGACAGGACAGCCAGCUCUGGGAGGGGGCAGUGCUGCCACAUCUCUG